rnacentral:sRNA from 1 species
UGAUAGACAAUAUAACGUCGCUCAGUGC